UACGUAGGGGGCAAGCGUUGUCCGGAAUCAUUGGGCGUAAAGAGCGUGUAGGCGGCUUGGUAAGUCCGCUGUGAAAGUCCAGGGCUCAACCCUGGAAAGCCGGUGGAAACUGUCAAGCUUGAGUCCGGAAGAGGCGAGUGGAAUUCCUGGUGUAGCGGUGAAAUGCGCAGAUAUCAGGAGGAACACCGGUGGCGAAAGCGGCUCACUGGACCGCAACUGACGCUGAGGCGCGAAAGCUAGGGGAGCAAACAGG
rnacentral:rRNA from 1 species